GGAGAGGUGGCCGAGCGGCUUAAGGCAGCGGUUUGCUAAACCGUCGUAGGGUUAUAGAGCUCUACCGAGGGUUCGAAUCCCUCCCUCUCCGCCA
rnacentral:tRNA from 1 species